UAUUUUCUUCUGGAGGUAACCCCCUCUGUGUGUGUGUGUGUCUGUAGGUGCACCAGUCAGCCCAUCAAUGGGCAUAAUCAGUAGAUCCUCAGAGAGAAGCUCUUGGAAAUGGGUAUCCUAGUGAGAAAAUCCUCAGCAGUUUCAGUUCAGUCAGGGCAUCUCCUUCGCAGCAGCAGCAGAAGCAGCAGCAGAAGCAACGGCAGUGCUUCUGGUACUCUGCAGGCCACAUCGUUCAUACCUUAUACAUCACUACCAUAUUCUUUGUAAUAGGAGAGCCUAAUACAGCAUUUCAUUGCCUACAGCCCCCAAGCUUCCACCAGGCAGUUGCAUUUCUGCAUCUGAACCUUCUUAAUCAUCCCUGCAGUCCUCCAUCUCAUCAGCAGGCUAUUUGUGUCUCAGCAGGAGCAGCAAAAGAAGCAUGUUAUCACCUGGAGGUUAGACUCACCCUGUUCAUUAGACAGUGCCUCUGCACAUUUAUGGGGGAAAUCACUAUUACAACAGGACUGUCAAUAGCAAACCUGGACCACAUAAAAGAACUCUUCACCUCCCUUGAAGCAGCUUGAAGAUUUUCAUCAUCUUCCUGCUUCCUCCAAAACUUCUUCCUGAAGACUGGGAUCAGCUGCUCCUCUUUGGGUGGAAGAUUUAAAUAAGGACCCUCAGGAUGUCUCUGCUUGUGAUGAGGUGCUGUUUGCUGGAAAGCUGGAUUGCCAGAUGUGCUGAACCCUCUGAUAUAUAUACUUUGGAAUGAAUGC
rnacentral:lncRNA from 1 species